UGGGGAAUAUUGGACAAUGGGCGCAAGCCUGAUCCAGCCAUGCCGCGUGAGUGACGAAGGCCUUAGGGUUGUAAAGCUCUUUUGGCGGGGACGAUAAUGACGGUACCCGCAGAAUAAGCCCCGGCUAACUUCGUGCCAGCAGCCGCGGUAAUACGAAGGGGGCUAGCGUUGUUCGGAAUUACUGGGCGUAAAGCGCACGUAGGCGGAUUUGUCAGUCAGGGGUGAAAUCCCGAGGCUCAACCUCGGAACUGCCUCCGAUACAGCAAGUCUCGAGUCCGGAAGAGGUGAGUGGAAUUCCUAGUGUAGAGGUGAAAUUCGUAGAUAUUAGGAAGAACACCAGUGGCGAAGGCGGCUCACUGGUCCGGUACUGACGCUGAGGUGCGAAAGCUAGGGGAGCAAACGGGAUUAGAUACCCUUGUAGUCCCUGAGCGGGCUGGCAAGGCGCAU
rnacentral:rRNA from 1 species